rnacentral:rRNA from 1 species
CCUACGGGAGACUGCAGUGAGGAAUAUUGGUCAAUGGACGAGAGUCUGAACCAGCCAAGUAGCGUGAAGGAUGACUGCCCUAUGGGUUGUAAACUUCUUUUAUAAAGGAAUAAAACGAGGCACGUGUGCCUUUUUGCAUGUACUUUAUGAAUAAGGAUCGGCUAACUCCGUGCCAGCAGCCGCGGUAAGACGGAGGAUCCGAGCGUUAUCCGGAUUUAUUGGGUUUAAAGGGAGCGUAGAUGGGUUGUUAAGUCAGUUGCGAAAGUUUGCGGCUCAACCGUAAAAUUGCAAUUGAUACUGGCAGUCUUGAGUACAGUUGAGGUAGGCGGAAUUCGUGGUGUAGCGGUGAAAUGCUUAGAUAUCACGAAGAACCCCGAUUGCGAAGGCAGCUUACUAAACUGUGACUGACAUUGAUGCUCGAAAGUGUGGGUAUCAAACAGGAUUAGAUACCCUGGUAGUC